rnacentral:rRNA from 1 species
CAGUCGCCGCGGUAAUACGAAGGGGGCUAGCGUUGCUCGGAAUGACUGGGCGUAAAGGGCGCGUAGGCGGAUGGCACAGUCAGAUGUGAAAUUCCCGGGCUUAACCUGGGGGCUGCAUUUGAUACGUGUUGUCUAGAGUGAGGAAGAGGGUUGUGGAAUUCCCAGUGUAGAGGUGAAAUUCGUAGAUAUUGGGAAGAACACCGGUGGCGAAGGCGGCAACCUGGUCCUUGACUGACGCUGAGGCGCGAAAGCGCGGGGAGCAAACAGGAUUAGAUACCCCCGUAGUCCCUGUCUCUUAUAC